CGUAGGCAUGGAAGAGAGAUUCAGAACCAUAUCUUGAAUCUAUGGUGGGUAGUGGCGCACAGCCCUUCUUGGUACGUGGAGUGAUAUGCCUACUUAGUACCGGUAAUGAAUGAGACCCAAAAAUAUUAAAAGGAGCAUUUCAAAAUUACAACGUUGAACAGAGUAAAAUGUGUAAGUGUUUGAAUGUGUUCAUAAAAGUGGUGGUUUAUAGGACACCAGCUUCUUAAAUAUCUUAAAUAUUGCUGCCAGCAAUAAUGAGAUUGAGCCAUAGCAGAUCUGUGUCGCCAUUAGAU
rnacentral:ncRNA from 1 species